rnacentral:rRNA from 1 species
CCCUUAGAUGUUCUGGGCCGCACGCGUGCUACACUGAGUGGAUCAGCGGGUCAGGUUACGCGAGAGCGUUUCCUAAUCUUCAAAUCCGCUCGUGAUGGGGAUUGACGGUUGCAAUUUUCCGUCAUGAACGAGGAAUACCUUGUAAGCGCGGGUCAUCAUCCCGUGCUGAAUACGUCCCUGCCCUUUGUACACACCGCCCGUCGCUCCUACCGAUUGAGUGGUCCGGUGAGGCUUUGGGAUCUAAGCGAAAAGAGCGUUUCGCUCCUUUUGCUGGGAGAACUCAGUCGAACCUUAUCAUUUAGAGGAAGGAGAAGUCGUAACA